rnacentral:misc_RNA from 1 species
AAGUCGUAACAAGGUUUCCGUAGGUGAACCUGCGGAAGGAUCAUUAUUGAAUAAAUUGCCUUGACGGGUUGUUGCUGGCCUUUAGAGGUAUGUGCACGCCUGUCUUGACUCCUAUUCAUCCACCUGUGCACCUUUUGUAGUUCUUUGUUUUCUGAUAUAAGGUAUAUUCAGUUGAAACAACACUGGAUUUGAGGUUUGCCUUGGCUUUCCUCUGUGAUCUUGUUCAGAAAGUGCAAAGGGCUAUGUCUUUUUAUCAUAAACCAUGUAGUCUGUCAUCAGAGUGUAAUCAGUGGGCCCUUUUGUGUGCCUAUAAAACCAUAUACAACUUUCAGCAACGGAUCUCUUGGCUCUC